rnacentral:rRNA from 1 species
CAGUCGCCACGGGAAUACGUAGGUGGCAAGCGUUGUCCGGAAUUAUUAGGCGUAAAGGGCUCGCAGGCGGUUUCUUAAGUCUGAUGUGAAAGCCCCCGGCUCAACCGGGGAGGGUCAUUGGAAACUGGGAAACUUGAGUGCAGAAGAGGAGAGUGGAAUUCCACGUGUAGCGGUGGAAUGCGUAGAGAUGUGGAGGAACACCAGUGGCGAAGGCGACUCUCUGGUCUGUAACUGACGCUGAGGAGCGAAAGCGGGGGGAGCGAACAGGAUUAGAUACCCCCGUAGUCCCUGUCUCUUAUAA